rnacentral:tRNA from 1 species
GCGGUUGUGGCGGAACUGGUAGACGCGCAGCGUUGAGGUCGCUGUGGGCGUAAGCUCGUGGAGGUUCGAGUCCUCUCAACCGCACCA